CAAAAGCUUGGUCCUGACUUUAGUGUCAGCUUUGAUUAAAUUUAUACAUGCAAGUAUCCGCAGCCCUGUGAGAAUGCCCUACCCUAUUCCUCAUCCCGGGAAAAAAGGAGCCGGUAUCAGGCGCAACCUCACCGGUUGGCCCAUGACACCUUGCUAAGCCACACCCCCAAGGGAAUCCAGCAGUAAUAGACAUUAAGCAAUAAGUGCAAACUUGACUUAGUUAAAAUCAGACAGGGCCGGUUAAACUCGUGCCAGCCACCGCGGUUAUACGAGAGGCCCGAGUUGACACAGCCCCGGCGUAAAGAGUGGUUAAUAAAAUAGGCAAACUAAGGUCGAACAUCUUCAAGGCUGUCAUACGCACCCGGAGACAGGAAGACCCCCUACGAAAGUGACCUCAACGAUCUAUGAACUCCACGAAAGCUAGGGAACAAACUGGGAUUAGAUACCCCACUUAUGCCUAGCCCUAAACAUCAAUGCCCCCAGCACACCACCUGCAUUCGCCAGGGAACAACGAGCCCCAGCUUAAAACCCAAAGGACUUGGCGGUGCUUUAGACCCCCCUAGAGGAGCCUGUUCUAGAACCGAUACUCCCCGUUCAACCUCACCCUCCCUUGUAUUACCCCGCCUAUAUACCGCCGUCGUCAGCUUACCCUGUGAAGGGCUAAUAGUAAGCAGAAUUGGCACAGCCCAAAACGUCAGGUCGAGGUGUAGCGUACGAGAGGGGAAGAAAUGGGCUACAUUUACUGCCUGCAGUAAAUACGAAUGUUGCACUGAAAUGAGCAUCUGAAGGAGGAUUUAGCAGUAAGAGGGGAAAUAGAGCGCCCCACUGAAAAUGGCCCUGAAGCGCGCACACACCGCCCGUCACUCUCCCCAAACCCAGCUCGCAGUAAAUAAAUAAGCCGAUUAAGCCCAUCUACAAGGGGAGGCAAGUCGUAACAUGGUAAGUGUACCGGAAGGUGCACUUGGAAAAAC
rnacentral:ncRNA from 1 species